AUUGAACGCUGGCGGCAUGCCUUACACAUGCAAGUCGAACGGUAACAGGUCUUCGGAUGCUGACGAGUGGCGAACGGGUGAGUAAUACAUCGGAACGUGCCUAGUAGUGGGGGAUAACUACUCGAAAGAGUGGCUAAUACCGCAUGAGAUCUACGGAUGGAAGCAGGGGAUCGCAAGACCUUGUGCUACUAGAGCGGCCGGUGGCAGAUUAGGUAGUUGGUGGGAUAAAAGCUUACCAAGCCGACGAUCUGUAGCUGGUCUGAGAGGACGAUCAGACACACUGGGACUGAGACACGGCCCAGACUCCUACGGGAGGCAGCAGUGGGGAAUUUUGGACAAUGGGCGAAAGCCUGAUCCAGCAAUGCCGCGUGCAGGAUGAAGGCCUUCGGGUUGUAAACUGCUUUUGUACGGAACGAAAAGCCCCGGGUUAAUACCCUGGGGUCAUGACGGUACCGUAAGAAUAAGCACCGGCUAACUACGUGCCAGCCGCCGCGGUAA
rnacentral:rRNA from 1 species